rnacentral:tRNA from 1 species
GGGGGCGUAGCUCAGUUGGGAGAGCGCCUGCUUUGCACGCAGGAGGUUAGCGGUUCGAUCCCGCUCGUCUCCACCA